ensembl:lncRNA
UCUCGGGUGGUAUCACGCACACUCCGACCGCAGAUCUCGAUCUGGACCCACGAAACUCACUUCAUUGCAUCAUGAGUAUAACAACACAACUAAACGUCCCAGAGAUACGAAACUUGGCACACAACUAAAAAGCCCCAGAAAUAUAAAGCUUCACAACACAAUGCAAAAACCUUGCCUCCCGGUUGUAACAACACAAUCACACCACAAAACCACAAUCUGGACCCACAAAACUCACAACAAUGCAUUGUGACUAUAACAAAUACAAAACUUGGCAACACAACACAAAAUCCUUGCCUCUCAGUUGUAACAACACAACCACACCACAAAACCACAAUCUGGACCCACAAAACUCACAACAACGCAUUGUGACUAUAACAAAUACAAAAUUUGACAACACAACUCAUCCACCUCCCCAAUCCCUACAUUCACACUUGGCCUCCAAAAAAACAAUUACAAUAAUAACAAUGACAACAACAACAACAACAAGAAUCAACACCAUCACAGGCAAGAAACAGCCAGGCACUGAGGCUGAGAGGUCAGUCAGUGCUACACUGGGCCUCCAAAAAACAAUACAGUAGCAUCUAACUUAUCCAACCUUCAUGACCACAACAACAACAAUAAUAAUAAACACCUACAUAGGCAAAACAAAAAAAACUAUUGUACCACAAUAAAAAUAUAAACCGCACUCAGCAGAAUCAGACAUUACAAUUAAGAACAAACCAAAGACAACAGGGAUCUCAAGCAAUUAUCAAUCAACACAAAAACUGAAGAAGGCAACAGACUUCAAAUACUACUACUAAUGUGAGUAUAAAGAAGGGUGGAGGUCACAGCAUAAAUACAACCUAAUGUAGACUGACCAACACCACCAGACUAAGCCACAGCAACGCGUGGCCGGGCACAGCUAGUCUAUAUAUAUAAAAGGGUAAUGAAAUUUCGGCCUAGGACAAAACAACAAAACUACACAUCCCAGAAACACUAAACUUGGCAGCACAACCCCUCAUCCAUGCCUCUACGUUCAUACAACAAAAAGAAAAGAAAAAUAAAGUCCUAAUGAGAGGGAGAGGAAUAAUUGUUUUUAUCCAAUUGUUGCCAGUUAGAAGACUAAGCUCCGUCCACUUGGUCUCCUAGCAACCCACUCAACCCAGGGGACAGGCAGAGUUAGGCCUCACUUAGGCCUCUUCCACACUGCCUAUAAAAUACAGAUUAUCUGAUUUUAACUGGAUUGUAUGGCAGUGUAGACUCAAGGCCCUUCCAUACAGCUAUAUAACCUAUUUAUAAUCUUAUAUUAUCUGCUUUGAACUGGAUUAUCUUGACUCCACACUGCCAUAUAAUCCACUUCAGUGUGUAUUUUAUCCAGCUGUGUAGAAGGGGCCUCAUACUUCGCCACAGCAACGCGUGGCCGGGCACAGCUAGUAAAUAAAUAAAUAAACACACUGCGCCACCGGGGUUCCUGAGUACAUCUUGCCUAAAAAAACCCCAAAAAACCAUAAAAUUCAUGGGAUGGCCACAAAAGCAAAUUGAAGGCACACUUACUCUCCAAUACAUUAAAUGGCUGUGUUACAAGGUUAUAUGACAGCCAACACCUAUUCAAAUUUCUUCUUUGAUAUAGCCAUCGAAGGGACAGAAGCCAUCUCUCGUUUUCAAUCUGACAAUCCUAAUGGAAGACCAACUGAAUCCCAACGAGGGCUGGUUGACCUUGAGCAAGUCACAUUUUCUCUCUGGUGAAGAGGAAAGCAAUAGCAAGCUUCCUCUGAGUCGACCUUGCUUUAGAAAUCUCAGUAAUGGUGUCACCAUAACUCAGAGCCAACCUGAUGACACAUAACAAGAAGAACUAGAUCAUCUAUUAUUAUUAUUAUUUAUUUUCAUACCCCGUCACCAUCUCCCAAAUGGGAUUCGGCUUAUACAUGGGGGCCAUGCCCCUAGAUACCAAUACAAAUGAUCCAUAAAACAAAACAUAGAUAAAAUAAAGACAAUAAACAUAACAAAAUAAUUUAAAAUACAGUUACAAUAAAUCAUAAGAAUAUCAAACAGCCGCGUGCAGCAAAAUUACCAUAAUACAAUGGGCGCAGUUGGGGUAUACAAGGGCCAGGCAAAGGCAUGGGAUAGUUAAAGUAACAUAGAUAGGGCCGGGUAUUGGAUAAAGUGAGAUAGCAGCAUGUAAUUAAUUAUAUGCAUUUAAGCUUGAAUAAUGUAUUUUAUGGAUUAUUGUUAAUGGUUUUAAAUAUGUUGUUGUUUUUUAUUGAUUUUGUGUGGCAUUGAAUUUUGCCGGUUGUUGUAAGCCGCCCUGAGUUCCCUCGGGUGAAAAUGGCGGGGUAGAAAUGUUGCAAAUAAAUAAAUAAAUAAAUCUUCUGGAACAUAGGGACUGGGCAUAUGUGACAAGGGACUAGGCAUUGUCAAAAGCAAGCUGGAACAACUAGGUUUCCAGAUCCUUAUGAAAGAAAAGAGGGACAAAGCAGUGCCAUGAAAUAUGAUGUAUGGUAUAAAUGGAAUUGCAUGAAAGCUAUAUGGUUGAGGUCUAUAUAGUCUAGAGAUGCCAUCCUAAGAUUGAAGCCUAGAAAACUACAAGAAGGAGGUGAAAAAUUCAUGGACUAUACCGUGUUUCCCCGAAAAUAAGACAGUGUCUUAUAUUAAUUUUUGCUCCCAAAGAUGUGCUAGGUCUUAUUUUCAGGGGAUGUUUUAUUUUUCCAUUUAUUGUUGAACAAAAAAAUGAAUAUUUAUUAUAUACUGUACAGUAGUUGUCAUCACAAACCAGCAUAACCAGAAAAACUGUGAAUCCUAUCAAGAAUUUCUUGUUACUACAAUUAUUUCCAUAUACAACUGGUAUGUACAUUUACCAACCCUGAAUGCUCUGGUGUUCUGUUUGGCAGGUGCUGGGCAUGCUUCCAAACAAAAACUUUGCUAGGUCUUACUUUCGGGGGAGGCCUUAUAUUUAGCAAUUCAGCAAAACUUCUACUAGGUCUUAUUUUUCAGGGAUGUCUUAUUUUUGGGGAAACAGGGUAAUUAAAAGUUUCUUAUGAGAACAGUGACAAUGAUUAACUGUUGAACCUUUGGUGAAAACAACAUGUUUACAUUAUCAGAGACAAUGGCUCUUUAAGUUGAGAAAAUGUUUACAAGGUUCUUUAUGUUAAGAAGGAAGUCAACGCAAGGCUUCUUAUGUUUACCAACACCAAUUAAGGAUCUGCCCGGAACUGCCCGGAACUGAAAUAGAGCCAGGAUGUUUCAGGCUGGAAAAACAUCUAUCAUUUAUUUACAACUUUGGAACAACAUCAGCAAGAAAUAUUGCUAUAUAACCAACCUUAUUACAAUCCAAAAAUUGUGGCAGACCAGAGGUGACCUGCUAUGCUCUGUCCAUAGGAAGGGGAGAGUGUCAAUGUGGGAUUUGUGUAUUAGUAGUGUUUAAAUGAAAUUUGUGUCUGGCAUGUAUUACAUACAGGUUGCAUCAUCCAGAGUAUGCUAUAGUCUGUAAAGAGUUAAUGACUGAGAAGCUGUGUUGACCUUGAUGUGUGGCUGGAACCUUGAGAGUAUCCAGAAUCAAGUGUAUUUGUACAUUACUGAUUGUGUCAGUUGAGAUCUUGCUUUGUUCUGAGUUGUGUCUGCCUAGAGUGAAAGCCAAGCCUGUGUUCGUCUGCAAUUCUGUUUGUCUUGUAAAGUAAAGCUUUGUAUAUACUUUUUAACAUCGUUUCUGACGUCUCUUCGUUUCUGCGCUCCAUUGACAACAUACAACUGUUGCUACGCUGCGAAUUACUCUGACAGAGAGAUGGUGUGUUUGGGAGAGUGGCAGACCUACAAUGGAAAGCAGAAGUCUGGUCACUUGCUUCUUUCUCAGGGAAAGGAUGCAUUUUGGUGUUUUGGAAGUAUUGGAAAAGUGGCAGAUUUUCAGGGAACGAAUCUGGCCAUGAGAUGACAGAAGAAGAAUGGUGAUAUAUGAAUGACGAUGAAUAAAUGUUUAUAUGUGUGUGAAUGCUGAGUAAAAAUGUAAUUCCAACUUGUUUGUUAGCCAAUAUAGGUGUAAGUUGUUUAUGGAUUCAAUGUAGUGACAUAGAAUCUGUAUGUCCAGUGUUGUUCUUUGUGUAAAAGUGUACAUUCUGAUACCCUUUUUCAUACUGGAAAAUUGCAAUAAAAAGAACCUAAGCUUUAAAGCUAUUGAAAAGUUAUUCAUAACAACAGCGAGCUCCUACAGAAGUAUUUCUUCAUGUAACAAGAAUCACAAGCUCCAGGCCCCUAUGGACACCCAAAGCUAUGUGUCGCCAUUUAGAUCCUGCCUUUGUUUUCUGAUAUAGGCUACUUCUCAGCAAGACAAACCAGAGCUCACUGCAGUUAUUGAUUUACUGCAAAAAUUUCCCACCGAUGAGCAGCAAGGGCUUUAAUUCUCCCUAAGUGACCCCAAGCCUUUGCUGUUGAUGGCGAGGGAGGAGAUUGUCACACUUCUCUGCAAGCCAAGAACUGUCGUUGGAAUGAGAAGCAACCACCCACCAUGCAGUCGUUUCUAGAUGGGCAUUUGUCGUUGCUUUGAUUUUCAAAGGGCAGUCAUCUCCAGCAUUUCCCCAGAGGUGUCAUGAAGAAAGAAGGAGAGAAAGGAGUGAAAUUGAUGUUAAACCCUGACUUCUGGCAGCUAUUCGUCUUUUCUGUGUCCUACAAAAGCUGUGAAAAAUAAGUUUCCUUCUGGAAUAAUAAACACAAGGAUGAACACAGCUUUGAAGAUGACUGAUAGGUAGAAAUUGAGAUAGAUAGAUAAUGGAUACGUGAUAGAUAGAUAGAUAAUCAUACCAUUGAGCCAUGACAGAUUCCAUAACAUUGAGCCAUGGCAGUUAAAGUGGUGUCAAACUGCAUUAAUUCUACAGUGUAGAUGCACCCUAAGUAGACAAUAUAAAAUCUUGGUUGACAUUUAUAGGUAAAGGCAAAUCUAUCUAUCUAUCUAUUUAUCUUUCUAUCAUGAUCGACAGACGGACGGAUGGACAGACAGAUGGAUGAUAGAUAGGUUUGCCUUUACAGUAGAGUCUCACUUAUCCAACAUAAACGGGCCGGCAGACUGUUGGAUAAGCGAAUAUGUUGGAUAAUAAGGAGGCAUUAAGGAAAAGCCUAUAAAAAGUCAAAUUAGGUUAUGAUUUUACAAAUGAAACACCAAAACAUCAUGUUAGACAACAAAUUUGGCAGAAAAAGUAGUUCAAUACACAGUAAUGCUAUGUAGCAAUUACUGUAUUUAUGAAUUUAGCACCAAAAUAUCAUGACAUAUUGAAAACAUUGACUACAAAAAUGCGUUGGAUAAUCCAGAACGUUGGAUAAGCGAGUGUUGGAUAAGUGAGACUCUACUGUAUUUACAAAUGUCAAC